UACGGAGGGGGCGAGCGUUAUUCGGAAUUAUUGGGCGUAAAGGGCGCGUAGGCGGCUUGAUGUGUCAAAGGUGAAAUCCCUCGGCUCAACUGAGGAACUGCCUUUGAAACUGUCUGGCUUGAGGCCGGGAGAGGGUAGCGGAAUUCCCAGUGUAGCGGUGAAAUGCGUAGAUACUGGGAGGAACACCGGUGGCGAAGGCGGCUACCUGGACCGGUUCUGACGCGGAUGCGCGAAAGCGUGGGUAGCAAACAGG
rnacentral:rRNA from 1 species